rnacentral:tRNA from 1 species
UAAGGUAUAGCUCAGUGGUAGAGUGUUUACCUGGUACAUGCAAGGCCUUUGGUUCAAUUCCCAGCACUUUAA